UGGGGAAUAUUGGACAAUGGGCGAAAGCCUGAUCCAGCCAUGCCGCGUGUGUGAAGAAGGCCUUUUGGUUGUAAAGCACUUUAAGUGGGGAGGAAAAGCUUAUGGUUAAUACCCAUAAGCCCUGACGUUACCCACAGAAUAAGCACCGGCUAACUCUGUGCCAGCAGCCGCGGUAAUACAGAGGGUGCAAGCGUUAAUCGGAAUUACUGGGCGUAAAGCGCGCGUAGGUGGUUAUUUAAGUCAGAUGUGAAAGCCCCGGGCUUAACCUGGGAACUGCAUCUGAUACUGGAUAACUAGAGUAGGUGAGAGGGGAGUAGAAUUCCAGGUGUAGCGGUGAAAUGCGUAGAGAUCUGGAGGAAUACCGAUGGCGAAGGCAGCUCCCUGGCAUCAUACUGACACUGAGGUGCGAAAGCGUGGGUAGCAAACAGGAUUAGAUACCCUGGUAGUCCACGCCGUAAACGAUGUCUACCAGUCGUUGGGUCUUUUAAAGACUUAGUGACGCAGUUAACGCAAUAAGUGGACCGCCUGGGGAGUACGGCCGCAAGGUUA
rnacentral:rRNA from 1 species